rnacentral:SRP_RNA from 1 species
GCUGGGCGCGGUGGCUCACGCCUGUAAUCCCAGCUACUCCUUGGGAGCUGAGACAGGAGAAUUGCUUGAACCCGGGAGGCGGAGGCUGCAGUGAGCUGAGAUUGUGCCACUGCACUCCAGCCUGGGUGACAGAGUGAGACUCUGUCUCAA